rnacentral:tRNA from 1 species
GGGUCCGUAGCUCAGGGGGUAGAGCAGCCGGCUCAUAACCGGUUGGUCGCAGGUUCAAACCCUGCCGGGCCCA